GCACCCGUAGCUCAACUGGACAGAGCAUCGGUCUUCGGAACCGAGGGUNNGGUUACUGGUUCGAAUCCAGUCGGGUGUA
rnacentral:tRNA from 1 species